AAAAAAUAAAUAAUCGCGAUAUUAUGACAAAAAGAAAAAAUGGCCAAUGGCGGCUGGUGUGGACUGGCAACCGGCCCGCCAUCUGAAAAACCGGCCUGGGCGGUCUAAAACCAGACAGGUGGCAACCCUAGUACCGCACAAAUAGC
rnacentral:lncRNA from 1 species